CGAACGGGUGAGUAACGCGUGAGGAACCUGCCUCAAAGAGGGGGACAACAGUUGGAAACGACUGCUAAUACCGCAUAAGCCCACAGGUCGGCAUCGACCAGAGGGAAAAGGAGCAAUCCGCUUUGAGAUGGCCUCGCGUCCGAUUAGCUAGUUGGUGAGGUAAUGGCCCACCAAGGCAACGAUCGGUAGCCGGACUGAGAGGUUGAACGGCCACAUUGGGACUGAGACACGGCCCAA
rnacentral:rRNA from 1 species